GCUUACGGCCAUACCACCAUAGGCAGCCCGAUCUCGUCUGAUCUCGGAAGCUAAGCAGGGUCGGGCCUGGUUAGUACUUGGAUGGGUGACCGCCUGGGACUACCUGGUGCUGUAAGCA
rnacentral:rRNA from 10 species